rnacentral:lncRNA from 10 species
CGGCCGCCUUUGUUCUCUGGCAUAAUCGCUCCCACGUCCCCCUCCCGGGCGGGGCCCAGCAGAGACCCCCGCCCCGCCCCGCCCCGCCGCGCCCCGCAGGAGCCUCCUCCUCCCGCCGGCGCGGCGCCUGUGCCCUGGUCCCGGUGUCCCCGCUCGGUGCCACCGAAGGAUCUAGGGGCUCGGGCCGGGGAGGGGGUGGAGGGGGGAGUGGAGGCGCGAUACGAACCCGUGGGAGCCUCCCCAACCCCGCAGUCCCAGCGGCAAACUGUGCUUGGUCGGACGGAUGCCCGCGCGGAGAUCCAUUUCUAGACACUUCCUGUUGAACAAGACAGAGGAGAAUUCCUGGGUUGAGUCCCCCUGAAAAAUCAACAGGGCAACAGGUUUCUUCUCUGUGGUACUACUCUGGCAUCUGAAAGGAGGCCUGGUUGGCAGAGGCUUGGAGAGGGAGGGGAGGGUUGAGGUCAUGAGGUCAGAGGAGGAGGUGAGGAAAGGACUCAUGUUGAAUUUUAUUCAACAUGGAACUGGAGACCUUUUCUGGUCGGUGGCAGGGACAGUGUGGAUGGCAGUGGGGUCGGGGGUAGUGUCAGGCCUGUUUCUCCCAAGUUGAAGGGAGGAGGAAGUCAGGAGGCUCAAGCCCUGUCUUAAUUCAGAGCACUUUGAAAAGUAUCUAUUUUUUUCUUAUUUCCAUAAUAAUACACUUAUUGAAAAAAAUUAAAAAUUUCACAAAAGCAUAAAAAGAGAAUAUCCCCUGCAGUGCACCCCUAAGAUGGAAUGACUACACAUUUCCUGUGUGACAAGAAGCUGAGCACGGGCAACCAGGAGCUGGGUUUGGG